CGCGUAUGAUGACACCCUUAGUACUGCUGCAAACCCCCGAGUGCUCAGUGGGGAGGCCAACCUUGGAGAACUGAGCGUGCG